GGGCCCGCACAAGCGGUGGAGCAUGUGGUUUAAUUCGAUGAUACGCGAGGAACCUUACCAGGGUUUAAAUGCAGAACGACAGGGGUGGAAGCACCCCCUUCUUCGGACGGACUGCAAGGUGCUGCAUGGUUGUCGUCAGCUCGUGCUGUGAAGUGUCGGGUUAAGUCCCAUAACGAGCGCAACCCCCAUUUCUAGUUGCCAGCGGUUCGGCCGGGGACUCUAGAGAAACUGCCAGCGUAAGCUGUGAGGAAGGUGGGGAUGACGUCAAAUCAUCACGGCCCUUACAUCCUGGGCCACACACGUGCUACAAUGGCCGGUACAGAGGGCUGCAAUACCGCAAGGUGGAGCGAA
rnacentral:rRNA from 1 species